GCCACCGUCACGAGGGAGAUUGUGCAACUGCAAGCCAGGCAGUGCGCAACCAGUUCUGAGAGGUGAUCAGUGAUGAGCACGCCAUCGACCCCACGGGCACCUGCCACAGGGACAGCAACCUGCAGCUGGAAUGCAUCAAUGUGUACUACAACGAGGCCACUAGGGACAAGUACAUGCCCCGUGCAGUGCUCGUGGAUCUGAAACCUGGCACCAUGGACUCCGUGUGCUCCAGGACCUUUGGGCAGAUCUUCUGGCUGGACAAUUUCAUCUUCGGUCAGAGUAGUGCUGGGAACAACUGGGCCAAGGGGCACUACACAGAAGGCACGGAGCUGGUAGAGUCAGUGCUGGACGUUGUGAGGAAGGAGGCUGAGAUCUGUAAUCUGCUUGCAGGGUUUCCAGUUGACCCACUCCCUGCGUGGGAGGACUGGGUCUAGGAUGGGUACCCUUCUCAUCAACAAGAUCUGGGAGGAGUACCCAGACAGGAUCAUGAACACGUUCAGUGUGGUACCCUCACCCAAGGUGUCAGACACCACCAUCUCAGUCUACCAGCUUGUGGAAAACACAUACAAGACCUACUGCAUUGAUAAUGAAGCUCUUAUGACAUCUGCUUCAGAACCCUAAAGCUGACCAUGCCUACCUACUGUGAUUCCAACCACCUGGUGUCUGCCACCAUGAGUGGGGUCACUACCUGCCUGCACUUCCCAGGACAGCUCAAUGCUGACCUGUGGAAGUUGGCUGUGAACAUGUUCCCGUUCCCCAGCUUGCACUUCUUCAUACCUGGCUUUGCCCCACUGACCAGCCAGGGUGGCCAGCAGUACCAGGCACUGACAGUGCCUGAGCUCACCCAGCAGAUGUUUGCUGACAAGAACAUGAUGGCUGCCUGCAACUCCCACCAUGGCUGCUACCUGAUGGUGGCUGCUGUGUUCAGGGUCUGCAUGUCCAUGAGGGAGGUGGACAGGCAAAUGCUUAAUGUCCAAAACAAGAACGGCAGCUACUUUAUUGAGUGGAUGCCCAGCAAUGUGAAAAGGGCUGUCUGUAACAUCCCUCACCAGGGGCUAAAAAUGUCUGCCACCUUCAUGGGCAACAGCCAGGCCAUCCAGGAGCUGUUCAAGCACAUCUUGGAACAGUUCACGGUCAUGUUCUGGCACCAGGCCUUCCUGCACUGGUACAUGGGCAAGGGCAUGGAUGAGGUGGAGUUCACCAAGACUGAAAGCAAUAUGAAUGGCCUGGUGUCUGAAUACCAGCAGUACCAGGACCCCACAGCCAAGGAGAAGGGAGAGUUUGAGGAGGUGGCCAAGGGAGAGGUGGCCUCAGGCCUCCAUUCACUGGGGAAAGCAGGGAAUCAAUGUGAACUCUUUAUUCACUCCCAGCCUGUCCUGUGGCCUGUCCCACUGUGUGUGCACUUGCUGUUUUCCCUGUCCACAUCCCAUGCUAUACAGACACCACCAUUAAAGCCUUUUCACAGUUAAAAAAAAAAA